rnacentral:rRNA from 1 species
AGUGAACGCUGGCGGUAGGCCUAACACAUGCGAGUCGAACGGCAGCACAGUAAGAGCUUGCUCUUACGGGUGGCGAGUGGCGGACGGGUGAGGAAUACAUCGGAAUCUACUUUUUCGUGGGGGAUAACGUAGGGAAACUUACGCUAAUACCGCAUACGACCUACGGGUGAAAGCAUGGGAUCUUCGGACCUUGCGCGAUUGAAUGAGCCGAUGUCGGAUUAGCUAGUUGGCGGGGUAAAGGCCCACCAAGGCGACGAUCCGUAGCUGGUCUGAGAGGAUGAUCAGCCACACUGGAACUGAGACACGGUACAGACUCCUACGGGAGGCAGCAGUGGGGAAUAUUGGACAAUGGGCGCAAGCCUGAUCCAGCCAUACCGCGUGGGUGAAGAAGGCCUUCGGGUUGUAAAGCCCUUUUGUUGGGAAAGAAAAGCAGCAGGUUAAUACCCCGCUGUUCUGACGGUACCCAAAGAAUAAGCACCGGCUAACUUCGUG